rnacentral:tRNA from 1 species
ACUAUUUUGGCAGAAUUAAAAUGCGAUAAAUUUAGAAUUUAUUUAUGUGAUGAUAUGUUACAAAUAGUA